AAACCAGCACCUCAAGUGGUCAGGAUGAUUAUUGGGCCUAAAGCAUCCGUAGCCUGCUUUAUCAGUUUUCGGUUAAAUCCACACGCUCAACGUAUGGGCUGCCGGGAAUACUGUAAAGCUAGGGAGUGGGAGAGGUAGACGGUACUCGGGAGGAAGGGGUAAAAUCCUUUGAUCUCUCGAUGACCACCUGUGGCGAAGGCGGUCUACCAGAACACGUCCGACGGUGAGGGAUGAAAGCUGGGGGAGCAAACCGGAUUAGAAACCCCGGUAGUCC
rnacentral:rRNA from 1 species